rnacentral:rRNA from 1 species
UACGUAGGGGGCAAGCGUUAUCCGGAAUCACUGGGUGUAAAGGGAGCGUAGACGGCUGUGCAAGCCUGAAGUGAAAGGCGGGGGCCCAACCCCUGGACUGCUUUGGGAACUGUACGGCUGGAGUGCAGGAGAGGUAAGUGGAAUUCCUAGUGUAGCGGUGAAAUGCGUAGAUAUUAGGAGGAACACCGGUGGCGAAGGCGGCCUGCUGGACUGUGACUGACGUUGAGGCCCGAAGGCGUGGGGAGCAAACAGG